rnacentral:lncRNA from 1 species
AUGAGAUACAAUAACUAAGUUAAUAAACCUAGUUAAAUGCCUAUUAGAUAAGCUAAAUGAUGAAACUUGUGGCAUUUAUGAUAGUAAGUUAAACUUGAGGGACUUAGAGUGCCAAACUUGGAAGUUUAAUUUAUUAAAACAAAAAUCACACACACAUCCACACAACGUGUGCGUGUGAUCGAGCAGGAGAAAAGGGGAAGGGGUGUAAACCCUAACCCACAUGAAAUCAUCAAAUUGGAAAAGGAUUUGAGGGUUAAUUGGAUGCAUGAACCAAGAUUUAUGAUCACUCAAGCAUUCUUGACACCAAGAUAGGAAUCCCAAAUUGACAUGGACUCAAGUAUGGAAAGCUAACGGGUCAAGCGGAGGUGAGGAAGCAAGCAUGAACACUAACGCUUAAGGUACUACACGGAUUUCUUCUGCUGCUAAGGAAGUGAAGCGGACGUAGAUCGAGUCAAGAGCAAGGAUUGUACGGAUAGAUCGGUCACAUAGUUGAAGUAUAUAAUGUCUAGAAAUCUAAAUUUUAGUAUGAAUGUUGUGAAUUCUUUUAUAGAACGUUUAACAUUUUUAGAAUUUGGAACCUUCGUGAAAGUAAUGUCGUUAAUAAGGAAAGAAAUUU